UACAGAGGGUGCAAGCGUUGUUCGGAAUUAUUGGGCGUAAAGCGCGUGCAGGCGGCUUUGCAAGUCGGGUGUGAAAGCCCUCAGCUUAACUGAGGAAGUGCGCCCGAAACUGCAUGGCUUGAGUACCGGAGAGGAUGGCGGAAUUCCCCAAGUAGAGGUGAAAUUCGUAGAUAUGGGGAGGAACACCGGUGGCGAAGGCGGCCAUCUGGACGGAUACUGACGCUGAGACGCGAAAGCGUGGGUAGCAAACAGG
rnacentral:rRNA from 1 species